rnacentral:rRNA from 1 species
GAUGAACGCUAGCGACAGGCUUAACACAUGCAAGUCGAGGGGCAGCAUAGAAGUAGCAAUACUUUGGUGGCGACCGGCGCACGGGUGAGUAACGCGUAUGCAACCUACCUAUCAGAGGGGAAUAACCCGGCGAAAGUCGGACUAAUACCGCAUAAAACAGGGGCACCGCAUGGUGAUAUUUGUUAAAGAAAUUCGCUGAUAGAUGGGCAUGCGUUCCAUUAGGUAGUUGGUGAGGUAACGGCUCACCAAGCCGACGAUGGAUAGGGGGAACUGAGAGGUUGGUCCCCCACACUGGUACUGAGACACGGACCAGACUCCUACGGGAGGCAGCAGUGAGGAAUAUUGGUCAAUGGGCGGGAGCCUGAACCAGCCAAGUCGCGUGAAGGAAGAAGGAUCUAUGGUUCGUAAACUUCUUUUGCAGGGGAAUAAAGUGCAGGACGUGUCCUGUUUUGUAUGUACCCUGAGAAUAAGGAUCGGCUAACUCCGUGCCAGCAGCCGCCGUAAAAC